rnacentral:misc_RNA from 1 species
UCGUGCAACGGAGGUGCCCCGGGUUGUCGCUGGCCUUUCAAAAGGUCGUGCACGCCCGAGUGCCUUCACACAAUCCAUCUCACCCUUUGUGCAUCACUGCGUGGCGUUCUCCUGGAAGGGAGGGCCUGCGUUUUCACACAAAACUAGAUACAGUGUAGAAUGUCUUCUUUUGCGAUCACACGCAAUCAAUA